ACCUUACUUUAAUGUUGCAGUGGAUAAAGGUGGAGCUCAUUUUAAUUACUUAAUAUACUGCUGGGUAGCUUGUGAUUAAGAACAUUGUAAAUU